GAAAAUCUGAGAGUUAACUAGUGAUGUCACGGUUAAUUUGGAGCAUUGUCGUACAUAAUUCAAUGAAGUAGUAACUGAAAAUCGAGUUAUUUGCAUACAUGUCAUGUGUGGAGAAAAAGCCUCUAACUAUCUCAUCCAUCAUUUUAUUUCUCAAAUUUGUUUUACAAUCUGUCUAGUUUUUCAUACUUGUUGGUUUGUUUCAACUUUGUCCAAAACUCAAUCCCCAUUUACUUUAGUGUGUCUAAUUAGUUAGAAUCUGUUUUAAUUUGUGUUUUUAAAUGUUUUGAUUCAAGUAAAAGUCAAUUUUCGUCCAAAGUCAUUCCUAGUGUCUAGUUUAAGUUUAUUUAGUUGUUCUAAGCUGGUUUGAGUAUUUUAAGUUUGCUUUGAGUCUUGUGAGUCUUGUUAAGUAUUUUUAAGUUUAGUUUUAUGUUUUUGAGUCAAUUUAGAGGUUAUUAGCAAGCCCUCCUAAUCCCCAGUCCAGAACGAUCCCUACUUAUACUUAUACUACAGUUGUCAAAAAAAGGUUAAAUUUGUGUGUUAAGUAAAUUCGCAUCAAAUUUUUGGCGCCGUUGCCGGGGAUUAGCAACUUUGCUAAUCCCUUGUUAUUUCUUUUUGUAUAUUUUCGUGUCUUUUGUUUUUAGUUACUGACUUUGUUUCUGUUUGUGUUUUUUUUUUUUUUUUGUUUUACUUUUGAUAUUUGAUUUAGUUUUGUUUCCUUGAU
rnacentral:lncRNA from 1 species